rnacentral:rRNA from 1 species
CAGCCGCCGCGGGAAUACGAAUGGGGCUAGCGUUGCUCGGAAUUACUGGGCGUAAAGGGAGCGUAGGCGGACAUUUAAUUCAGGGGUGAAAUCCCAGAGCUCAACUCUGGAACUGCCUUUGAUACUGGGUGUCUUGAGUGUGAUAGAGGUAUGUGGAACUCCGAGUGUAGAGGUGAAAUUCGUAGAUAUUCGGAAGAACACCAGUGGCGAAGGCGACAUACUGGAUCAUUACUGACGCUGAGGCUCGAAAGCGUGGGGAGCAAACAGGAUUAGAUACCCCCGUAGUCCCUGUCUCUUAUAC